AGCGACUGUGCAGGUUACCGCGGCUGCUGGCACGGAGUUAGCCGGUGCUUCUUCUGUGAGUGAUGUCCUUCCUGCCGGUUAUUGACCCGCAGGCCUUCUUCCUCACUGAAAGUGCUUUACAACCCGAAGGCCUUCUUCACACACGCGGCAUGGCUGGAUCAGGGUUGCCCCCAUUGUCCAAUAUUCCCCACUGCUGCCUCCCGUAGGAGUCUGGGCCGUGUCUCAGUCCCAGUGUGGCUGAUCAUCCUCUCAGACCAGCUACGGAUCGUCGCCUUGGUGAGCCGUUACCUCACCAACCAGCUAAUCCGACAUAGGCUCAUCCGAUAGCGCGAGGCCCGAAGGUCCCCCGCUUUCCCCCGUAGGGCGUAUGCGGUAUUAGCCUGGGUUUCCCCAGGUUAUCCCCCACUACCGGGCAGAUUCCUAUGCAUUACUCACCCGUCCGCCGCUCGCCACCAGGAGCAAGCUCCCCGUGCCUGCCGCUCGACUUGCAUGUGUUAGGCCUGCCGCCAGCGUUCAAU
rnacentral:rRNA from 1 species